rnacentral:rRNA from 1 species
UGGGGAAUAUUGCGCAAUGGGGGGAAACCCGUGACGCAGCAACGCCGCGUGAUCGAAGAAGGUCUUCGGAUUGUAAAGAUCUUUUAUCAGGGACGAAGAAAGUGACGGUACCUGAUGAAUAAGCUCCGGCUAACUACGUGCCAGCAGCCGCGGUAAUACGUAGGGAGCGAGCGUUAUCCGGAUUUACUGGGUGUAAAGGGCGAGUAGGCGGGCUGGUAAGUUGGAAGUGAAAUGUCGGGGCUUAACCCCGGAACUGCUUUCAAAACUGCUGGUCUUGAGUGAUGGAGAGGCAGGCGGAAUUCCUAGUGUAGCGGUGAAAUGCGUAG